CUAUACAUGACUCUGCGCAUAUCAAUAAGCGGAGGAAAAGAAACUAACAAGGAUUCCCUUAGUAACGGCGAGUGAAGCGGGAAGAGCUCAAAUUUGAAAUCUUCAAGGUUUUACCUUGACGAAUUGUAGUUUAAAGAAGUGUUUUCUGUUGGAGUUUUGGUAAAAGUUCUUUGGAAUAGGACAUCAUAGAGGGUGAGAAUCCCGUAUUUGACCAUUUCUUCCAGCUGUGUGAUACACUUUCAAAGAGUCGGAUUGUUUGGGAAUGCAGUCCAAAAUGGGUGGUAAAUUUCAUCUAAAGCUAAAUAUUGGCGAGAGACCGAUAGCGAACAAGUACCGUGAGGGAAAGAUGAAAAGAACUUUGAAAAGAGAGUUAAACAGUACGUGAAAUUGUCAAAAGGGAAGCGUUUGACACCAGUGUUGUUUAGUUGAAAAUCAAUUCAAUAAUUUUUGAUUUUAAGUAGUAUUGACCUUCAUCAGCUUGCUGCUUUCUUCUCAGGAAUUAUUGAAUGCACUUUUCAGUUAACAAGUCAACAUCAAUUUCUUUUGUUGUAAAAGGGUAAGAGGAAGGUGGCUUACGCUUCGGCGUAAGUGUUUAUAGCCUUUUACCUCUGCAAUCGGAGAGAUUGAGGACAGCAGCGUAGACUCCUUUCGGGGUUAGAUACACUUGUGCUAAGCUAUAGCCUUGUAUAGACAACUUGUUGACUAUGCUCAGUCAUGUAGCUUACUCGCUUGUGCUAUUUUACCUACGCUUAGGAUUUGAAGAUAUGCGCGACACG
rnacentral:rRNA from 1 species